rnacentral:rRNA from 1 species
CGCGUAGGCGGUAUGGUAUGUCGGAUGUGAAAUCCCUGGUUUCAAGCGAGGAACUGCAUCCGAAACUGCCACACUUGAGUCCUGGAGAGGGAAGUGGAAUUCCUGGUGUAGAGGUGAAAUUCGUAGAGAUCAGGAGGAACACCCGUGGCGAAGGCGACUUCCUGGACGGUGACUGACGCUGAGGCGCGAAAGCGUGGGGAGCAAACA